UACGGGGGAGCAAGCGUUGUUCGGAUUUACUGGGCGUAAAGGGCGCGUAGGCGGCGCAACAAGUCACUUGUGAAAUCUCCGGGCUUAACCCGGAGCGGUCAAGUGAUACUGUCGUGCUAGAGUGGCGGAAGGGGCUACUGGAAUUCUCGGUGUAGCGGUGAAAUGCGUAGAUAGUCGAGAGGAACACCUGCGGCGAAGGCGGGUAGCUGGGCCGACAC
rnacentral:rRNA from 1 species